rnacentral:misc_RNA from 1 species
UCCGGUUCUUCACCAGCAGUCUCCUUAGAGUCCCCACCAUAACGUGCUGGUAACUAAGGACAAGGGUUGCGCUCGUUACGGGACUUAGCCCAACAUCUCACAACACGAGCUGACGACAGCCAUGCAGCACCUGUCUUUCGGUUCCUUUCGGCACUUCCGCAUCUCUGCAGAAUCCCGAAGAUGUCAAGGGUAGGUAAGGUUCUUCGCGUUGCAUCGAAUUAAACCACAUGCUCCACCGCUUGUGCGGGCCCCCGUCAAUUCCUUUGAGUUUUAAUCUUGCGACCGUACUCCCCAGGCGGAAGACUUAUCGCGUUAGCUUCGAUACCGACCGGUCUUGCCGGACAACAUCUAGUCUUCAUCGUUUACAGCGUGGACUAC